rnacentral:rRNA from 1 species
AUUGAACGCUGGCGGCAGGCUUAACACAUGCAAGUCGAGCGGGGGAAGGUAGCUUGCUACUGGACCUAGCGGCGGACGGGUGAGUAAUGCUUAGGAAUCUGCCUAUUAGUGGGGGACAACAUCUCGAAAGGGAUGCUAAUACCGCAUACGUCCUACGGGAGAAAGCAGGGGAUCUUCGGACCUUGCGCUAAUAGAUGAGCCUAAGUCGGAUUAGCUAGUUGGUGGGGUAAAGGCCUACCAAGGCGACGAUCUGUAGCGGGUCUGAGAGGAUGAUACGCCAAACUGGGACUGAGACACGGCCCAGACUCCUUCGGGAGGCAGCAGUGGGGAAUAUUGGACAAUGGGGGGAACCCUGAUCCAGCCAUGCCGCGUGUGUGAAGAAGGCCUUAUGGUUGUAAAGCACUUUAAGCGAGGAGGAGGCUACUCUAGUUAAUACCUAGGGAUAGUGGACGUUACUCGCAGAAUAAGCACCGGCUAACUCUGUGCCAGCAGCCGCCGUAA